rnacentral:lncRNA from 1 species
GUGUGAAAUAUAAUACAAAUCAAAAUAAUAUAGCACUUUUUAACAACACUCCUUGACUUGUUAAAUAUAUUUUCCCCCAGAUCCAUCACCCACUUCGCCUUCAGCUGCUCCAACACCACAAGUACAGAGGCUGUACGCACUCAUUGAAAAGCUUCCAGACAACUACAGGAAGGCUGCUAUAACUUUGUGGGAGGCCUAUCACCGACGCCAUACAAACAACAGAAUCAACGAAUUCUUCAAAUGCUUGGAAGAAUGUGUGAAGCACCCUCAUACAGGUUUGUUUCGGGUGGCUAUGGCUCGGGUGGUAGAGCAAAUCAGCUACUGAUUGGAAGGUUGGUGGUUCAAUCCUUGGCUUCCCCAGUCUAAAUGCCAAAUAU